rnacentral:rRNA from 1 species
UAGGGAAUCUUCGGCAAUGGGGGGAACCCUGACCGAGCAACGCCGCGUGAGUGAAGAAGGUUUUCGGAUCGUAAAGCUCUGUUGUUAAGGAAGAACGAGUGUGAGAAUGGAAAGUUCAUACUGUGACGGUACUUAACCAGAAAGGGACGGCUAACUACGUGCCAGCAGCCGCGGUAAUACGUAGGUCCCGAGCGUUGUCCGGAUUUAUUGGGCGUAAAGCGAGCGCAGGCGGUUAGAUAAGUCUGAAGUUAAAGGCAGUGGCUCAACCAUUGUAGGCUUUGGAAACUGUUUAACUUGAGUGCAGAAGGGGAGAGUGGAAUUCCAUGUGUAGCGGUGAAAUGCGUAGAUAUAUGGAGGAACACCGGUGGCGAAAGCGGAUCUCUGGUCUGUAACUGACGCUGAGGCUCGAAAGCGUGGGGAGCGAACAGG